AGGGUUUGAUCCUGGCUCAGAUUGAACGCUGGCGGCAUGCCUUACACAUGCAAGUCGAACGGCAGCACGGGAGCUUGCUCCUGGUGGCGAGUGGCGAACGGGUGAGUAAUAUAUCGGAACGUACCCUAGAGUGGGGGAUAACGCAGCGAAAGUUGCGCUAAUACCGCAUACGAUCUACGGAUGAAAGUGGGGGAUCGCAAGACCUCAUGCUCAUGGAGCGGCCGAUAUCUGAUUAGCUAGUUGGUAGGGUAAAAGCCUACCAAGGCUUCGAUCAGUAGCUGGUCUGAGAGGACGACCAGCCACACUGGAACUGAGACACGGUCCAGACUCCUACGGGAGGCAGCAGUGGGGAAUUUUGGACAAUGGGCGCAAGCCUGAUCCAGCAAUGCCGCGUGAGUGAAGAAGGCCUUCGGGUUGUAAAGCUCUUUUGUCAGGGAAGAAACGGUGGACUCUAAUACAGAUCACUAAUGACGGUACCUGAAGAAUAAGCACCGGCUAACUACGUGCCAGCAGCC
rnacentral:rRNA from 1 species